UAAUAUACCUGAAAGGUGUGACACCAUGAUCAGAAAAGUGAUUCAUCCAAAUUGAGGCUCAGAAAUUGCACUCAGGCUGUUUGACCCUUGUACAUUGCCCAAAUGUGGAAAUCUCGACUGCUUAAUUUCUAGUAGUAGGAGACUGCGUUUGCGCUCUCCCCUG